rnacentral:lncRNA from 1 species
CUUCAAACUCCCCAGAAGGGCGAUCUGGGGCAGAAGGCCGCCCGUGACACCCGACGGCCUAGUACCUGGGGUGCCAAGGCCAACGCGACCAUAAAGACGCAGGUCCGGGUUGUCGUGGCAACUCAGCCAGCCGCUUGCCGAUUGGGGAAGCCCUGAGAGCGAAGAGGUUUGAGACAUCUCGCGAGAGUCCUCCUCUGGGGCUUCCUCGGUGUCAGAGGAGGAAGUAGGGCUCAGAAGAACUCAAGUGAUGCUGCUGCAUCCUCCUGGUUAAGCAGGUUAUCUGGCCUUGGCUGGAGCCAUCGCCAGGUCCCUGGGCCAGUCCCUGUGCGUGUUUCUUCUGUCACACCACAGGAAAGGAAGCCAGCUGAGGAAAGUCACUUGGACAGUAAGGUCCUGAAGAAACACGCAUGAAAACAGCA